AUUGAACGCUAGCGGGAUGCCUUACACAUGCAAGUCGAACGGCGUGGCGAACGGGGGAGUAAUGGUUCGGAACGUGCCCAGUAGCGGGGGAUAACUACGCGAAAGCGUAGCUAAUACCACAUACUAUUGGAGCGGGCUAUAUCGGAUUAGCUAGUUGGUGGGGUAACGGCUCACCAAGGCGACGGUCCGUAGCUGGUUUGAGAGGACGAGCAGCCACAGUGGUACUGAGCAACGGCCCAGACGCCUACGGGAGGCAGCAGUGGGGAAUUUUGGACAAUGGGGGAAACCCGGAUGCAGCCAUCCCGCGUGUGCGAUGAAGGCCUGCGGGUUGUAAAGCACUUUUGGCAGGAAAGCGGUACCUGCAGAAUAAGCAACGGCUAACUACGUGCCAGCAGCCGCGGUAAUAC
rnacentral:rRNA from 1 species